rnacentral:rRNA from 1 species
GACGAACGCUGGCGGCGUGCUUAACACAUGCAAGUCGAACGAUGAAGCCUAGCUUGCUAGGUGGAUUAGUGGCGAACGGGUGAGUAAUACGUGAGUAACCUACCUUUAACUCUGGGAUAAGCCUGGGAAACUGGGUCUAAUACCGGAUACGACCAAUCUCCGCAUGGGGUGUUGGUGGAAAGCGUUAUGUAGUGGUUAUAGAUGGGCUCACGGCCUAUCAGCUUGUUGGUGAGGUAACGGCUCACCAAGGCGACGACGGGUAGCCGGCCUGAGAGGGUGACCGGCCACACUGGGACUGAGACACGGCCCAGACUCCUACGGGAGGCAGCAGUGGGGAAUAUUGCACAAUGGGCGCAAGCC